CCCUUAGAUGUUCUGGGCCGCACGCGCGCUACACUGAUGCAUUCAACGAGUCUAAAACCUGCUCUGAUAGGGGUGGGUAAUCUUUUGAAUGUGCAUCGUGAUUGGGAUAGAUGAUUGCAAUUUUUCAUCUUCAACGAGGAAUGCCUAGUAAACGCAAGUCAUCAGCUUGCAUUGAUUACGUCCCUGCCCUUUGUACACACCACCCGUCGCUCCUACCGAUUGAAUGAUCCGAUGAAUAUCAUGGAUUGAGGAUGCAAGUAGGUUAGCCUAUCUUCAUCUUCGAGAAGUGAAGUAAAUCUUAUCAUUUAGAGGAAGGAGAAGUCGUAACA
rnacentral:rRNA from 1 species